rnacentral:rRNA from 1 species
UAGGGAAUAUUGCGCAAUGGCCGAAAGGCUGACGCAGCGACGCCGCGUGUGGGAGGACGCCCUUCGGGGUGUAAACCACUGUCAGAAGGGAAGAAAUCCGUGUGUCUGAAUAUGGCAUGCGGUUGACGGUACCUUCAAAGGAAGCGCCGGCUAACUCCGUGCCAGCAGCCGCGGUAAGACGGAGGGCGCAAGCGUUGUUCGGAAUUACUGGGCGUAAAGCGCACGCAGGCGGUCCUUUAAGUCCACUGUGAAAUUCCGGGGCUCAACCCCGGAGGUGCAGCGGAUACUGAGGGACUAGAGACCGGUAGAGGCUAGCGGAAUUCCUGGUGUAGCGGUGGAAUGCGUAGAUAUCAGGAGGAACACCGGUGGCGAAGGCGGCUAGCUGGGCCGGGUCUGACGCUCAGGUGCGAAAGCGUGGGGAGCAAACAGGAUUAGAUACCCCCGUAGUCC